rnacentral:rRNA from 1 species
GAUGAACGCUGGCGGCGUGCCUAACACAUGCAAGUCGAGCGAUCUUCUUCGGAAGAGAGCGGCGGACGGGUGAGUAACGCGUGGGUAACCUGCCCUGUACACACGGAUAACAUACCGAAAGGUAUGCUAAUACGAGAUAAUAUGCUUUUAUCGCAUGGUAGAAGUAUCAAAGCUCCGGCGGUACAGGAUGGACCCGCGUCUGAUUAGCUAGUUGGUGAGGUAACGGCUCACCAAGGCGACGAUCAGUAGCCGACCUGAGAGGGUGAUCGGCCACAUUGGAACUGAGACACGGUCCAAACUCCUACGGGAGGCAGCAUGGGGAAUAUUGCACAAUGGGCGAAAGCCUGAUGCAGCAACGCCGCGUGAGCGAUGAAGGCCUUCGGGUCGUAAAGCUCUGUCCUCAAGGAAGAUAAUGACGGUACUUGAGGAGGAAGCCCCGGCUAACUACGUG